UACGUAGGGGGCAAGCGUUGUCCGGAAUCAUUGGGCGUAAAGAGCGUGUAGGCGGCCAGAAAAGUCCGCUGUGAAAACUCGAGGCUCAACUUCGAGCUGUCGGUGGAAACUUUCUGGCUAGAGUCCGGAAGAGGAGAAUGGAAUUCCUGGUGUAGCGGUGAAAUGCGCAGAUAUCAGGAAGAACACCCGUGGCGAAGGCGGGUCUCUGGGCCGAUACUGACGCUGAGGAGCGAAAGCGUGGGGAGCGAACAGG
rnacentral:rRNA from 1 species